rnacentral:lncRNA from 1 species
CGAGGUCGUAUCCAAUCGCCACACGAACACACCGGCUUGCUAACGGCGUGAACCUGGGAAUAACCGCAAGCGGCCCGCCGCAUUUCCCCGUCAGCAAUGGCGAUUCCAAGGAGCCAAGGGCAAAUGGGAUGGGGGAAGGUCGCCGUCCAUACAUAUAUAGGCAUCCAUGCGGUACCCGAACCCUAAGGAGUCCUUCUGUUAGGAUUCGGCGCCAGGGAAAUCUACCAGUCCCGCGAAGGUUGCGGCAAUGGCGCAGGGAACGCGGCCUGACCCUGUGGGUCCACAAACCGGUGACUAAAAGCGCAACCGAGAUUCAGGAUUUUAUUUCAUUGCGAGCUGACACCCGGGCCCCACGUGGCGGUAGAGUCUAUGGCGCGCAUCAGAGGCAGACGAUCGGGGCCCACGCGCCAUAUAGUGCAGAAGAAAGAAAAAAAAGAAAAAAAGAGGAGGACGUGGGAAUGAUGGGCCGCAGGCAAAAGUAGAAUGGGCUGAGGGGGAUGAGAAUCGGCCCAGGUCGAGGCUGCCUGUCUUUCUUUUUACUUCCUCAAAUUUAAAUUGCAAAUUUGAAUCUGUAUGUGUGAAGUUCAAACCUAGGUUAAAUGUCUAUAAUAAUAUGAACUAAAUUUUUAAUUCAUUUAUAUUUUUAUUUCAUCCUAUUUGUAUAAUGUUUUCUUCUCUUUUUCUCAAUCCUAGAAUUUCCUUUAGGAUUUAAAUCCCCAUUUGGGAAUUAAUAUAUUUCUUUUCAAAUUAUUUUAUGUUGUCACAAAAUGCACACAAAAUAAAAUCCCAGCAUGAUGCAUGUAUUAUUUUUGGGUGUCUUUUGUUAUUUAUUUAUUUGUUUAAAUGAGGUGUUCACAUGGGAUGGUGAAUGGAGACAACACACACAUAAAGAUAAAAUAAAUAACUUCUCCUUCAGUAUUCUCUUACAAAUUGGGUAUUACAAAUCCUACCCCCCUUAAAAAUAAUCUCGUCCUCGAGAUUUAGGAAGAACGAGGGAGAAGAUGGGGAAAAUCUAUGCGAAGCUCUUCUUCUCUUUCCCAUUUUGCUUCAUCUUCGCCAUGGUGACUCCAUUGCACUUUGCACAUCUUUAUCACCUUAUUUCUUGUAACUCGAGUCAAUGUAUCAAGAAUCUUGAUCGGGUACUCCGUGAAAGUCAAAUCACCCUGAACACUAAGCUCUUCCAUUGGUAACUGUUCCUCAGGGACACGGAGACACUUCUUCAGUUGAGAUACGUGGAACACAUUAUGCACAUCCGAUAGACUAGCAGGUAGUUCGAGUUGGUAUGCCAUCUCCCCAACUCGCCUAAAGAUCAAGAAUGGUCCAAUAUAGCGAGGGGACAAUUCGCCCUUAACUUUAAAUCUCCUCAUUCCACGAAGUGGUGACACCUUGAGAUACACAUAAUCUCCUUCUUCAAAUUCCAGUGGUCUUAUUCUAUUAUCAGCAUAGCUCUUUUACCUUGAUUGUGCAAUUCUCAAAUUCUCCCUUAUCAUUCGCACUUGUUCUUCUGCCUCUUGUAUAAGUUCAGAUCCAAAGAACCGUCUUCUUCCAGUCUGAUCCAAUGUAGAGGAAUCCUGCAUUUCCUGCCAUAUAGAGUCUCGAACAGUGACAUCUUCAGACUGGCCUGGUAACUAUUAUUAUAUGAGAACUUAGCAUAAGGUAGACUCUUGUCCCACUACUACCAUGCCGAAGGGCACAAGCUCUCAACAUGUCCAUCAGUAUGAGGAUGGUAGGGCGAACUAAAAUUCAACUUUGUAUCCAAGCUCUCAUGCAACUUCUUCCAAAAUCGAGAAGUAAACUGUGAUCCUCGAUCAGACACGAUCUUCUUAGGCACACCAUGUAGACAAACUAUCCGAGUCAUAUACAAUUCUGCUAGCUUGGCUCCCGUAUAAUUAGUCCUCACAGGUAUGAAAUGAGCCACUUUUGUCAAUCUGUCUACAAUCACCCAAAUAGAGUCAUACCCAGCAGGGGUGCGGGGUAGUCCAACAAUAAAAUCCAUACCAAUUUCUUCCCAUUUCCACUCAGGAAUCUUAAGCGGGUGUAAUAGUCCAGCGGGUCUUUGAUGUUCGGCCUUGACUCUUUGACACACAUCACACUUAGCCACAUGAGCAGCAACAUCUCUUUUCAGUCCAUACCACCAAUACUUUUGCUUCAAAUCUUGAUACAUCUUAGUGCUACCAGGGUGGAUAGAAUAAUCAGAAUCAUGGGCUUCUUUCAGUAUAGUCUCACGAAGGCUAUCAAUCUCCGGAACACAUAUCCGUUCCUUGAACCAUAUAGUACCAUGCUCAUCCUCCAUGAAUUCCGGAACUCGACCUUCAGUAAUCAGAUCCUUAAUCUCUUAAAUUUUAGCAUCACCAACCUGACCUUUACGAAUCUCUUGCUCCAAAGUAGGUUCCUCAUCAAUAAUAACUCCUUCAGUGUGAGCAGCUAUCCCCAGGUUAAGUCUCCUAAAAUCCACAACAAUCUCAUCGGGUAGCUGGGCAACAACAGCUGAAUGAACGUGCUCCUUUCGACUCAAGGCAUCUGCAACCAAAUUUGCCUUGCCCGAGUGAUAGUGAAUUUCCCAAUCUUAAUCCUUAAUAAGCUCCAACCAACGAUGUUGCCUAAGGUUGAGAUCCUUCUGAGUGAAUAUGUACUUCGAACUCUUAUGAUCCGUGUAUACUUGGCACUUAGUUCCCAUAAUGUAGUGUCUCCAAAUCUUAAGUGCAUGCACAACGGCUGCCAGCUCUAAAUUAUGAGUGGGGUAGUUCAAUUCAUGUUUCCACAACUAACGAGAAGCAUAGGCAAUCACAUGUCCUUCCUGCAUGAGCACACAUCCCAAGCCUUGGCCGCAGGCAUCACAAUAAAUGUCAAAUCCUUUAUGUCGAUCUAGCAUAACCAACACUGGUGGUGUCAUCAACCUCUUCUUUAAUUGAUCAAAACUAUCUUGGCACUUCUCGUCCCACUUAACUUCUUUGCCCUUCUCCAAAAGCGAAGUCAUAGGCUUAGCAAUCUUAUAAAAUCCUUCGAUAAAUCUCCGAUAAUAUCCUGCGAGUCCCAAGAAACUCCGAAUCUCAGUAACUGUAGUGGGCACUCUCCACUCCAUUAUCUCCUUCACUUUAGCAGGAUCCACUGCUAUUCCUCCAUUAGAAAUAAUAUGACCAAGGAAUGGCACCUUGUCAAUCCAAAACUCGCACUUGCUGAACUUAGCGUAGAGUUGAUUAUCUCGCAACUUCUGUAGCACCAACCUCAGAUGUUCCUCAUGAUCGCUAUCACUCUGAGAAUAAAUAAGAAUAUCGUCGAUGAAUACCACGACGAAUCUAUCCAAAUACUCCAUAAACACCUUAUUCAUCAAGUUCAUAAAAUAAGCUGGUGCAUUGGUUAAUCCAAAUGACAUAACAGUGAACUCAUAUAAUCCAUAUCGAGUCGAGAAAGCUGUCUUGGGAAUAUCCGAUGGUCUAAUCCUCAUCUGAUGGUAACCCGAUCGGAGAUCAAUCUUCGAGAAUACUCUAGCACCUCUCAUCUGAUCAAAUAAAUCCUCAAUACGGGGUAAUGGAUACUUGUUCUUCACCGUGACAUCAUUAAGUGAUCUAUAGUCCACACACAUCCUCUGGGAUCCAUCCUUCUUCUGUACAAAUAGAACCGGUGCUCCCCAAGGUGAGGAACUCGGACGAAUGUACCCAGCCUCUUGCAACUCCGUCAACUGUUUCUUAAGUUCCUUUAACUCUUCUACAUACAUCUCGUAUGGCCGUUUGGAAGUAAGAGUAGUCCCAGGUAAGAGAUCUAUAACAAACUCAACUUCCCUAUCUGGUGGCAUCCCUGGUAACUCCUCUGGAAAGACAUCCGGAAAAUCCUUAACCACACGGAUGUUGUCACCAACAAACUUCCCAUCGACUAAGAAUGUCGCUAGUCAAGUGGCGGUAGUUACUGCAAUUCCAACUUCAAAUCUUUCUCCUUUGGAACUGGUGAGUUCUAUGGUUCCUUUAGCACAAUGCAUAAACUGCCUUUGCCUUUCUUAACCAUGACAUACCAAGGAUUAUGUCUAUAGUGCUCUCUUCUAACACUAUAGGGGUAGACCAUCUGGGUUAGGAACACAGGGUAAGAAAGAAAGGAUUAUAGACAAGGCGAGUAAUUACGAGGGAUGUUACUGCGGGGGAUUUAUUAGCUAAGUAGAUUAGUGUGUCACCUACUAAAGCUAAUACAUUACCUUAUGUUGGUACAUGCUAAGAUGUCCAUAUAUAAUAUUUCAAUCAAUGAAAGAAGCAAAUCAAGCAUUGAUCAUCAGAACAAACAACCAACAUUUUUAAUAGACAAAAUAAUUUUAAUUUCGUCUUAGGUUCCCUAUCUCUGAAAAAGUUCAUAGUUGUAGGAUUCCAAGGUGUGAAAUCCAUCUUGUCUUAAAGUAGAAAAGAUAAGAAUGGUCAGAGUGGAACAGUAGAAGGUGAGACAGGAUCAAGAUAAGUAUAGAAAGAAUCAGAGUAAGGUAAGUAUAGAAUGAAUCAGAAUAAGGUAAGUAGGUAAGGGUUUUGUCCAUUUCUAUCUAGGUUUCGUCCUACAGUCAACAUUUCCUCUGAUACCACUUCUGUCACACCCGGGCUUUAAGGGACAAAGCCGGGUGCAUCUCAUACAUGCGCCAAAGAAGACAACAUAUAUAAUCACAGAGUGUAUAGAGAUAAAUGUCAUAAAACAUCAGAGUAAUUAUUACAUAGCGGAAGACUUAAUACAAAAUAAAAGAAUAAACAUAAAACGAACUAAGGAUCGUCGGCGCCAAUGUCAAUUGAGAAACGCCACCUAGAUCAGAUCAUACUCCUCGCCUUGUGGCUCCUCCUGAACCACCUGCUCUUCUCCUGUGGGGGGGUGUGAGACAGCAAGAGUGAGCUCACAUACUUUCAUCGCUCAACAAGUUGUGGGGAAUAAUGUGGCAUGAACUCACCAAAGGUGGGAGUUCAUGAAGUGUAAGGCUGAUCAAUGAUAUAAGGCUGAAGCUGAGCAUUGCUUUUAAGUUGGUCAAAAUUUUAUUAGCAAUUACUAAGUGUAAGUAAAUACCAAACCAUUAUAAUAAUAAGUAAAAGUAAUAAAAAAUAAUCCCAAAUGCAAUGAAAUGACAGAUUAAGUUUAAGUUCCAUAAAUUAAUCAUGUGAGUGUCCGAGCCGCUCAUGACCGUGAGCACGGCUAGUAUACCAGUUUUACACUCUGCAGAGGUUGCGCAUCUUUACCCACAAGUCGUGUUACCCAUUUGCCACAGAGUUGAUCAGACUCCAUACACCUCUACCGAGGAAGCGAGGCAGGGUACCACUACGAGGCCUUUACAAAGUUCCACUAGCUUCAGACUACCCGCUACAGUUUAUAGAAAGCUCCAGUGCAGGGUUCUUGCCUGACCGCCAUCGCAGCAAAAUCAACCCAAGGACCUCCCUACACUGACCACUCCCCUACUGCCCUUGCCCCUUUCGGGUAAGGUAGCCCUCCACUAGCUUUCCUAGUUAAUCAGCCAAGGGCGUCCCAUUAUACCCUUGUGGUAGCACUGUUUUCCCGGGUGGUUCUCCAUGUUCCCAUUAACAUAAUGAUCUUAUCAUGAACAUAAAAUAAUGAACAGAUAAUAGAAAGUGUAAUCAUGAGUCAUAAAUAUCUUUAUACCCAAAUCCACAUAAAGCAAUAGCAUGUACUACCCAAAAAUUUAGUAGUAAAACCAGUGGUGAAACAAGGUAUAAAGAUAGUCAAAUCUAGGGUAACCUAUUGGGUCCCAGCAAAAUUAACCUAUGCAGAUCAUUAUGAUUAAUAAGAACAUGAAUAGGUAAAAGAAGUGAUCAAGGGCACAACUUGCCUUCAACGAGCUCCUGCUCAGUAGUCUCUACCAGCUGAACCCCGGAAUCCUCUGUAGCUUGCUCGUCUACUCGCAUCAACACAAUACAUACAUAGUAUAGCAACAAUUAACAUCACACAAAGCAUGUACACAAAGUAUACAGUAAAAAUCUACACAUUAAAAUGAGAUCAUAGGAACUGAAAUUAUUAAUUUUGGAGUUACAGAUUUUUAGAUAUGGAUUUCUGAAGCUUUUAUGUACUUAAUACAAAAUUAAGUAUUAGAUAAAUUUAAAUGAGUCUUUCAUGCCAAAACAGAGGCACUAAUGGUUAGACAAUAAUAUUAUGAAAAUUUAGAAACUGGAAUGAACUAAUUUGGAGUUCAUAUGCAUUUUCUACAAAUUAAACAAGUUCUAUACAUUAAAAAUCUAUUUAUAUUUUAUUUUUAUCUGAAUUUCGAGAUGACUGGACUGGGCCUCAAUUAAACAGGAACACAGGGGCUAACUCGCAAGAUCUCUUAGACUCAGUGAAUAGUUACUCUCUGGAUGGCGGGUUUAGUUCCUGAAAACAGGGGGUCUUAUGUGCAAAUUUGACCCACGAAGGGGUAUCGUUGCUUCACAGCCAUCAGAUCUUAACUUGACGGCACAGAUUAAAAGGGAUGAAGGGUUACUCUAAGUUCUAAUCCGCACCGCACAUAAGCGAUCUAACGGUCACGAUAAACAUUUCCCCACCCCCAAUCUUAGCCGCACAAACGAUAUCCUACGGUUCGGCAACACACCAGAAACAGCUGACCACUGACCAUUAGAUUAUCCUGCAACGGCCCAAAUCCGAACACCCGAAAGGGUAUUCACUGCUCUAAUCCUCGCCGUUGGCAACCUGAUCCACGGAUACCGCAUCUCCCUCCUAUCUGAGCGCGCCGCCAAGGAACCAUACCCAAUCUAAGCCGUAGGUCAACCCGCCAACGGUCCAGACCCCUUCUUCCUCAGCUCUCCCCCGCCGAUCUCCCAGGUUGCCCAGCCUAGCUCCGGCGCGACGACAUUCCUCAACCCAAACCCCGAUCUCUCACCACGCAACCCGACCAUCGAGUGGCCAAUACGGUAGCCUCCCAGACACAGAUCGCUCCACCACUACAGCGGUGCGCCCAACCCCGGAAGCAUCCACAAGCAAUGAAGAGGGUACACAGAGGAAGCGAUGGCUCACCGACGGUGAUGGCGGGGCAAAGCGCUGUGCGAUCCGAGGUCGUAUCCAAUCGCCACACGAACACACCGGCUUGCUAACGGCGUGAACCUGGGAAUAACCGCAAGCGGCCCGCCGCAUUUCCCCGUCAGCAAUGGCGAUUCCAAGGAGCCAAGGGCAAAUGGGAUGGGGGAAGGUCGCCGUCCAUACAUAUAUAGGCAUCCAUGCGGUACCCAAACCCUAAGGAGUCCUUCUGUUAGGAUUCGGCGCCAGGGAAAUCUACCAGUCCCGCGAAGGUUGCGGCAAUGGCGCAGGGAACGCGGCCUGACCCUGUGGGUCCACAAACCGGUGACUAAAAGCGCAACCGAGAUUCAGGAUUUUGUUUCAUUGCGAGCUGACACCCGGGCCCACGUGGCGGUAGAGUCUAUGGCGCG